GGUCAAGUAAACAAGGGCGUAC
rnacentral:rRNA from 1 species